rnacentral:rRNA from 1 species
GACGAACGCUGGCGGCGUGCUUAACACAUGCAAGUCGAACGGAAAGGCCCUGCUUUUGUGGGGUGCUCGAGUGGCGAACGGGUGAGUAACACGUGAGUAACCUGCCCUUGACUUUGGGAUAACUUCAGGAAACUGGGGCUAAUACCGGAUAUGACCUCCUGCUGCAUGUUGGGUGUUGGAAAGUUUCGGCGGUUGGGGAUGGACUCGCGGCUUAUCAGCUUGAUUGUGGGGUAGUGGCUUACCAAGGCUUUGACGGGUAGCCUGCAUGAGAGGGUUACCGGCCACCAUGGGCCUGAGAUACGGCGCAGAAUGCUACGGGCGGCAGUAGUCGGGAAUAUGGCAGAAUGGGCGGAAGCCUGAGGCAGCAACGCCGCGUGCGGGAUGACGGCUUUCGGGUGGUAAACCGCUUUCGACUGUGACGAAGCGUGAGUGACGGUAAUGGGUAAAGAAGCACCGGCUAACUACGUG